rnacentral:rRNA from 1 species
GAUGGACGCUGGCGGCGUGCCUAAUACAUGCAAGUCGAACGAGGUCUUCGGACCGAGUGGCGAACGGGUGAGUAACACGUUGGUACCUACCCCGAAGUGGGGAAUAACUGGCCGAAAGGUCGGCUAAUACCGCAUAAUACCGCAAGGUUAAAGCAGUAAUGCGCUUCGGGAGGGGCCUGCGUCCCAUUAGCUAGUUGGUGAGGUAAUUGCUCACCAAGGCAACGAUGGGUAGCUGGANCGAGAGGUUGACCAGCCACACUGGGACUGAGAUACGGCCCAGACUCCUACGGGAGGCAGCAGUAAGGAAUCUUCCACAAUGGACGAAAGUCUGAUGGAGCAACGCCGCGUGCAGGAUGACGGCCUUGGUUG